rnacentral:rRNA from 1 species
GUCCUGGCUCAGGAUGAACGCUAGCUACAGGCCUAACACAUGCAAGUCGAGGGGCAGCAUGGUCUUAGCUUGCUAAGGCCGAUGGCGACCGGCGCACGGGUGAGUAACACGUAUCCAACCUGUCGUCUACUCUUGGACAGCCUUCUGAAAGGAAGAUUAAUACAAGAUGGCAUCAUGAGUCCGCAUGUUCACAUGAUUAAAGGUAUUCCGGUAGACGAUGGGG